UACGGAGGGUGCAAACGUUGCUCGGAAUCAUUGGGCGUAAAGCGCACGUAGGCGGUCUGUUAAGUCGGAUGUGAAAGCCCUGGGCUCAACCCAGGAAGUGCAUUCGAAACUAGCAGACUUGAAUAUGGAAGAGGGUCGCGGAAUUCCCGGUGUAGAGGUGAAAUUCGUAGAUAUCGGGAGGAACACCAGUGGCGAAGGCGGCGACCUGGGCCAAUAUUGACGCUGAGGUGCGAAAGCGUGGGGAGCAAACAG
rnacentral:rRNA from 1 species